AUUUUAUCCAGCUCCCCAGGAAUCCAGGACGGGUGGUCCUCAGAGCACACACGCAUGCUGAGAAAUGCAAACCCGGGGAAUAAGGGGCGUGUGGCGAAAAUGAAUGAAGAAGGAGAAGGGGGCAGGUGAGAGAGGCAGGCUCACUUCUGAUUCCAGAUCUCUCAGAACUCGGCCGCCUUCCCAUCCCUGCCCCACUCACAAUGUUUGUGUUCAUUUCCCUUCAGGAGAUGAAAAGGACACCUAAAGCCCUCUGGAGGUGCAAAGCCCAGAUCUGCCAGGUUGGAAGGGGAACGGCUUUUCCCAGGAGACUCGGAAUUAAACUGACAAAAAACAGAUUAGCAAAAGAAGAGAAGAGUUUCUUUAGGCCUGCAACGUGCACACCUGGGGAGGUUUGCAUAACAUACAUAUGAAUGUGAGCAAUUAUGAACAUCCGCGUAACAACCUCUUGGAACAAGAAGCACAUUAGCAACAAGUCCUGGGUACCUCCUGUUGAAUCGACACUGUGCUGGGGACGCAGGACCUCCGCCUGACACCACAGAGGGAGUGGCUGUUGACCCCGGUCCACGGGGCUGGUAGAGAUCAGACUGCGAUUCGGUGACUCACCAGCUGUGGACCUUCAGUCACUUUCCCUGCCUCGGAGCCUCGGUCUCCUCACACACGCCGUGUUGGAGGGACACCUAUCUCAUAAGCUUGUUUGCGGAUUGAGCACGUGAGCCCUGCCUCUGUGCCGCCCCAGCGGGCCUGAAGUCACGGUGUUUCAGCACACUAGGCUGCCGCCCUGGGCAGGUGUCUCUUCUGCAUCCCCUCACCCAGCAUCAAGACCGAAAGUACACUGUUACAGCAGAUAGCCCAGUGACUUUCAAUGACGUUUGGUCAAAGGGAAAGGGGGAUUUUGUGGUCACGAUAGCUGGGAAGCAGUGCUGACUUCAAUGGGAGGGACAGGGCCACGAAACACCGUGGAACGUGGAAAGCGUGGCCUCCCCAAGAAUGUCGUCAGCAUCCCCUUUGAGAAACAAAGCCACGUCUGAGAGUCCAGAAGGAAAUAAAAAAGGAUUGAACAAGCCUUUGAACA
rnacentral:lncRNA from 1 species